AACGAACGCUGGCGGCAUGCCUAACACAUGCAAGUCGAACGAGACCUUCGGGUCUAGUGGCGCACGGGUGCGUAACGCGUGGGAAUCUUCCCUUGGGUUCGGAAUAACAGUUGGAAACGACUGCUAAUACCGGAUGAUGACGUAAGUCCAAAGAUUUAUCGCCCAAGGAUGAGCCCGCGUAGGAUUAGCUAGUUGGUGAGGUAAAGGCUCACCAAGGCGACGAUCCUUAGCUGGUCUGAGAGGAUGAUCAGCCACACUGGGACUGAGACACGGCCCAGAAUCCUACGGGAGGCAGCAGUGGGGAAUAUUGGACAAUGGGCGAAAGCCUGAUCCAGCAAUGCCGCGUGAGUGAUGAAGGCCUUAGGGUUGUAAAGCUCUUUUACCCGGGAUGAUAAUGACAGUACCGGGAGAAUAAGCUCCGGCUAACUCCGUG
rnacentral:rRNA from 1 species